AUGCUCCACUAGUGCAGAGGGGCGGCCACGUGAUCUUCCAUAUCCCAGGGUUGGCAUGAGUAUUCCAUUUUCAUUGUUUUCUGCCAAACCCUUUACGGUUCCUAUUUCGCUGGCUGUUGAUCAAGUGUUGUCUCUAGCUCUAGUGAACUCCGGUACUGCUUGGAACUUCAUCGACCAAGUCCUCGCCUCCUCCCUGAACUUAACCUCAUACCCGCUCACCUCUCCUUUUCCUAUCCAAGCUCUGGACACACAACCUUUGGGAUUCGGCACAGUGAUGCACAUCACAGCACCACUCGCCCUCACUGUGGGACCUAUGCACCAGGAAAGCCUUCCCUCCGCACCUGUACACAAGCUUUGGUGACUGGACCAACCAAACCCUCAAGACUGCCAUGGGCAAGUCCCUUGAUUGGUACCAGGAAGGGUGGGAGAACAACCUGAAGGUCAUUUUCUCUUUGCACACAGCAGCAUCCAGGCCUCCACCGACUGUGAACGUGAGCCGCAGCUGUUGACUGAGAUCACUGAAACUCCACCUGAUGUGGUGGAAGUUGUCAAACCCGAUCAGACCGCCUUAAAAGACCACCUUCAGGCGUAGACUGAGAAGGAUGUGGAGGUUUUUGACCAGAUGAGACUGAACAUGGACAAGGCACAGGAGAAACAGAAGGAGAGCUACCAGUGCAGAAUCAAGAUGGGGACCAAGUGCUACGACAUGCUGGCGAAUGACUUGGUUUAGAAGAAGAACAAAAGGAAGGGUUACCUCGGUGGAAGCCAACAAUCUUCUACAGUUGGAGCAGCUGGACGGUCGACCACUGAAAGCACUGACGCCCUACACUUCAGUGAAGCCCAAUAGACAAAGAUCAUAGUCUGCUUCUUCGUGCUCCGAGUCGGAGGGGGACCAGCUUGAGGUAAGCUAUACCUUCCAAAAGUGUUAAAGUACAUAUCUCCCAUUUAUAACACUGCACUAAUCACCACAUUUUCUCACAGUAAAGUGUAACCUGUGUUUGUCUCGGUCUUCUACCCUGUUCCCUUUAAAUUCUGCUCCUGUUCUCCUGGAGCUAGGGGUUCUGCCUAACACCCAGACGUGGAUCCACCUGAUGUCCUCCAUUACCAACCACCCUUCAAAUGUUCAUUACAUCAGCUACUGUUGUCAUUAUCUGUUAAGUUUUCUUGCUCUAUCAUAAUGUGAGAUCCAGAUGAACAAAAAAACUACACGGAUUUGCAUAUGAAUGGAGUGGAUAUUAGCUGACUUCGUAAUCUGUAAAGUAAAUAACUUUAAUGUGUCAAGCAGAUGCCACUUUCUUUGCCAGUUCUGUAACGUAGCGAUGUUUAAGACAUGGAUUUCAUGUUGUAAUGUUAACAAGGUACCCAAAAGUAGUUUGAAUUAAUGUUUUCAUUUUAUUAGUUAAGCAACUUGUUCAAACAGUGAAAUUGUGGAGGUAAUCUGCCUUGUUUGCAUAGCGAUGAUGAAAAUAAUGUUAUUUAGGCUGUAAUCUCAAACUCUAAUCAUUAGGUCAUCACACCAUUGAUACUGCAACGAACGCUAAUAGUUUUUAGAAUCCCAUUGUGACGCAGAGGACACUUUUUGUCAUGACAGGCCCGAUUCCUUCCUUGGGCGGAGUAUGCCCAGAAUUAGUUGUCAUUCCUCCACCGGGCUGACUCCCUUCCAGUGUAUUCUGGGUUACCAGCCAGCCCUGGCCCCAUGGACUCCAAGCCAGACCGAAGCGCCAUCCGCCUCAGAAGGAGCAGGUGGUUCGCCACAGCAGUGAGGCAUGUCGUGGAUAUUCUAAUCCAUAAUGAGGAGAGACAUGAACCAUUAACAAUCAGAUGUUCUUUAUUCAAAAAGUAUUAAUAAGGGAGCAAGUCACCAUACACACAGAGUGCAUAGAGAGAGCUCAGAAAUUCUGAGUUGGGGCUUGCUUUGUAUAGCCCAACCUUGUUACAUUUCCUUAAUCCACCAAAACUGCCUCAAUGUGUCGAACCAACUGAUAUCUACUGGAUGAGGUGGCCAAAUAUUCUGAGUUCUCUUGUGAGUAUUUAAGAACUGUUUGGUCUUAGAAUAGAGGAUACGGAGAGACUUUGUUCAGAACAGAGAUGCCUGGUUUUUUUAAACAUGCAAGUUUUAGAGUAGAGGGUGGUGUUAAGAACACGAUGUGCACAGCCGUAGUGGAUUCGGUACAGAGUGAGGUGAAAACAGCAAUUUACACAACCAGAGUAACAUGAUAGUUAUGUACAAUCAUUUAAAGUAAUACAUAUUUUUUUUUCCCACAGGCGCCCAUGUUCGAUCCUGGUGAUCACAUCUGGCUCUCCAUCAGGAUCCUCCCACUCCGUCUGCCAUGUGAGAAGCGGAGUCCACGGCCAGUGGUUCCUGGUCCCCUGGCUGACGAUGUCCCGCACAACACUCCUGGACAUUGAGGAAGCCCCGCCUAUGUCAUCAGAUCCCUCCUGGACUCACGACGUCAUGGGGGGUCGGCUUCAGUAUAUGGUGGACUGGGUGGCGUAUGGUCCAGGAGAGCGGUGUUGGGUUCCAGUGGAUGACGUUCUGGAUCCCUACAUAAUCUGAGAUUUGCACCUUUGCCAUCCGGAUCACUACUUGCCCUCGGGGGGUGGUGUACACUAUCACAUCUCCUCCCCUUCGACGUCAAAGGUCUACUAACCACUUCUUCACGCACACCUGCAUCUCAUCAGUCACAACUGGACCUCAUUACUCCCUGCUUACUUACCUUUCUAAUAGCACUCUUUAGAAACAAAACUAGCUGAAAACUAGUAACUAUGUCAGACGCUUCUCUUGUUUUGUUUCAUUCCAUGUUCAUUGAUAUUAAACUCACUGCACCUGCUUCCUGCAUCUACGUUACACCUUAUAUGUUGCGUUUAUAUUUUUGUUCAGUAUACAUUCCCAUAUUCAUCUUCCUUGGUGUGUUUAAAUAAAGUUCCUUUAUAACUCUAA